CUAGCUCUAGUUCCUGAAACAGACGCUCCGAAGUCGAGUUAGUUAUCCCUUGGCCGUCUUAGUACUCCUCGGGUUUAAUCUUAUUUCCACAGAGUUUCUUCUGCCGGGAUCUCCACCGAGGUUACCGAACAAAAACAGCACAGAGCCCAGACUGGAGGCAGACCCGGGCGCUGUCUCUGCUAGGCUUAUUUACGUUUAGGGCUUUUCUUUCCUUUUUUUAAAGUGAUGGGGGAAGUCUCAUUGUGUGGCAUGUGACAGUUCGUUUGCUUCAAAACAACAGGACGUAACCACGCGAAAACUAGAACCAGAGGAGGGGGCAUGCGUUUCUUCAAGUCAGCCAAACAGCAUCUGGUCUUUGAAAGCGCAAUUUCAUCAAGAAACUCCUGUUGGAUCCCUCCUAACUGUGGACCAAAAUAAGCCAACAGGAACGGGUGUUUACUUAAUGGCUAGUUUCUGUUUGAAAUGGGAGGAGGGAUCCCCUAGCAGGGUUCCAAUCCGAAG
rnacentral:lncRNA from 1 species